rnacentral:rRNA from 1 species
UACGAAGGGGGCUAGCGUUGCUCGGAAUCACUGGGCGUAAAGGGUGCGUAGGCGGGUCUUUAAGUCAGGGGUGAAAUCCUGGAGCUCAACUCCAGAACUGCCUUUGAUACUGAAGAUCUUGAGUUCGGGAGAGGUGAGUGGAACUGCGAGUGUAGAGGUGAAAUUCGUAGAUAUUCGCAAGAACACCAGUGGCGAAGGCGGCUCACUGGCCCGAUACUGACGCUGAGGCACGAAAGCGUGGGUAGCGAAUGGG